UCCCAUGCAUAACAAGCACAUGUAAAUUCUUUUAUACCCUCAGAACUAACCAUGAGUUUGUUGAUGUUCUUGUCUAACUUCCUCUUCUUGUUCAUGUUCAUCUUCUUCUCCAUCUUCUGAUUCAGUUUCAUCACCGUGUUCAACGUCAUCUUCUCCAUCUUCUGAUUCAGUUUCAUCACCACUUCCCUCAUGGCUCCUUAAGUCAUCAUGUUCUUCGGCUCUAGAAUUCUUCAAAAUCAAUAUAAAAAAACAAGAUGAGUAAAAAAAAAGUGUUCACAAGUAUCCAUGUUGAGCUCCUCAAGACCAUCAAAAGUAAUAAAAACAAGAAGUCACCAAGCAUUUAAAGAGCUUACCAUAGUGAAGUGUUUUAAUUUAUCCCUAU
rnacentral:lncRNA from 1 species